UAAAACCGUGCGUACAAGACAGCUAUGUAAGCGAACAAAAAUUGUCAAUCUGUUGAUAACUACACUGAUAAAUACACAAUAACAAUGCUGAUAUAUUUUUUUGCGUAACCAGUGAAACCGUUUGUAACGGCCGAGGAAUACAAACAAACAGAGGCGUUGGUGAGAGAGUUUGAAGAAGGGGUCGGCCAAUCGCUGCAUCAACAAUUACUGGAGAGGGCAAAGGUUAAGAGGAAUUGGCUUGAAGACUGGUGGGUGGAUGUGAUGUACCUUCAGUCAAGGCACUCCCUCCCCCUUUCUUCCAACAUCGUCGGGAUGGUGCCCGUCAUGGACCACAUGUGGCCUGCAGGGGUGAAACCGGCAGACAGGAUUCCGCUGUUCCUCUGGGCAUCUCUCUGUCUGUGGAAACUCCUUAGGAAAGAGCAGAUACCAGUUGACAAGACUGUGCUGACAGGACGGCCGUUCUGCAUGGACCAGUUUCGUAACAUGUUCUCGGCUCACAGGAUUUCCUGGUGUGACCAUGGACAAGAUUGUCAGUCAUUUCACGACAGGUAU